rnacentral:lncRNA from 1 species
CCGUGCUGCACGUAGGGAUGUAGGGUGGCAACCCGCAAACGGGCACCCGCUCACAACACCGCCAACAGGCCCGACGUGCGGGGCUGGGGCCGGAGGGAGCGGCGGGAAGGCCCGGCCUCGAGGCCUCGCCCUGCCCGGCCGCCCUCCGCGCGGGGCCGCCGCGGCCGCCAGGUGGCAGCGCUGCCCCGGCGGAGCGGAGCGGGCAGAACCCGGCGGCGGGGAGAGCCCUCGGCAGGCCCGGCUGCCUCGUUUGCCGUCAUACGAUACACGCACGGCUGGGUUUUCUCGCGUUCGGCAAGCGUGUGCCGCGAGUUGGGCGUCAUUUCCUAGCGUACCACCGCCUCGGACACUUGGCUGUUUAAAGAGCCGUUAUUGUUCCGCGCAGGUGAAUCGUUCACAGAUGACGGUCGUAGAAAUGGCAGCGGUUAGGUUUAGUGCCUCCAUCAAGAUAUCUGUGCCUUUACAGCCCGCUGCAGGCACGUGAAUGCACGGAUGGUCUGCGGCCUGCAUGAUGAGGAAAGAAACAGACACGGCAUCAAACAGUAUUGUCUAAGAGCUGCCGGCCUAAAUCCCUCGUGCUGUAAAUUGAACCAAUGCCAUUUAAUCCGAAGGAAUUGCACUGAUUCGCGAAGAAUUUUGUGGUCGACCGUUCAGGAAAUGCCUGUUUUCUGCUGGGAAGGAAGGAAGAAACGAGCCCAGUCCAGCCCCGUUGCCAUGAAGUGACGGCUGUUGUCUGAUGCAGCUCUGCUGUUGCUGCUCGGUGCGAUGUUCGCAGCGUACGUGCAAGAGUGAUUCAUCUCCGCACUCCGUAGCUGAGAUAGCAGCCUCGCCAGCCCUACCGCUAAGGUUAACCUGUAUGAUGCAUAAGGACAGCAGAUGGAAAUUCUGGUGUGGAGCCACCAGAAAAAAAUAAAAGCACGUUCCGAAGGGAAAAGGAUCUUGUAUUUCUGUGUCUGAACCUUUGAUCUUCCUUCACAUCUGAAGGGAAGAGUAGCCCUUUUGCUGAAGACACAUGGUUUUGCAUCUGUGAAAACACAGCUGUAUAUAGCAAAACAACACUGGUGGAAAACACAAUGGGUUUGCUGUGUCACUUUAGAUCUUAGCAUUAAAGAAAUGCUGUUGGUUUUUUUUUUUUCUUAGAGCAUUCCAGAAGCUCACUCUCAUUACGCUGUUGUUUGUUGAGGUUUUAUUCUGUGGAUGUUAGGGUUCAUCGGUGAUCAGGAGACAUCUGCUACCUACAUAUUUAAAGUGAGCUCCUGGGAAAGCCUGGCAGCCCCUCAGCGGCCCUAUUUUAACACCGGCCUAAAAAAGUGCAUAAAGGAAAGCAUCAAAACUUACAGGAAAACACACACUGGCAAAAUAACCUUGAGAAACAGCCUCGAUACAGAAAAAACCACCCCUAUCACAAGUGCUGUAAUUCGUAGUGGUGUGUACGUAAUAUAUAACUAUUUCAGAAUAGCAUGACAUCUUUCCCGAGUUGCCUCAGAGCUCCCUGGAAAGCAGCAGGGGUGUCUCUGGCCACACCUGAGCAUGGUGACAGCCCCACCGCCAUGCCAGCUGCCUGUCCCCUGCCUGCCAGCAUACACAGUGACACACCGCUGUCCCAGCAGCAUCCCCAGCCAGCUCUGCGGGCUUGCUUCACACCUCUUGUUCCCCAGCAGCACCACCGCUUGCUCCGGUGGGUCAGGAGACUCACUGGGGUCCUCUUUUUACAUGGACUGGUUUGUUGCAAAGGGCAAAGAGAGGAGCCGAAAGGAGGAAUGCUCAGCGUUGUGCACAGCUCGGCAAACGCACCGUUAUUUCUUUGGAUGUCAGUAACCAAUUGCUUCCUGAGCAGGGAGGGAAUCGGACUCUUCUUUAAAUUCCUGAUGCUGGCACACCGGUGCUGUGCUCUUACAAUGGAUCUGUCUUGCAGCCUCACAGCAGAUUUUCACAUGUGUUCAGGUUCCUAAACAUGCAGCUGGCACGUAAUUGGAUUUUGAAAAGAGCAUAAGCAGGUUAGACAUGGCAUCACCCACUGAAAUCGGUGGGAUUGAGGUACCUAUCCUGCUCCCAAAGAUCCUGCCAGGUGCUCAGGGAAUCUUCAGUUGCCCUGGAAAAUCUGGUCGCCAUCCAUCCCUGUGGUCGCUCCGCUCACAUCAAUAUUUGUCUCCCAUCUCUGCCCCCUGUCUGGCCUGCAUUGAUGCCGGAGCCCUCUCCUUUGUAGUUCCCAACUCAGGGACAUCCCUCUUCGAGCCGCCUACCAAACGGGCUCUCAGCUCUUCAAAGGCUUGGUCAGGCAGCCCUGCACCUGCUCGUAUUUUUCAAACCAGCUCACCUCUCUUUUCUAAUGACUUUUAAUUCUUUCUUUGCGUUGUUGGACUCUGUGUUUGAGGAUGAGAGGCUGUACAAACAGGUCCGUGUGCGCACACAAGGAGGGCAGUGCGCUGCGGAUCUCUGUGAAUCUGUGUGCCUCCAGGCGGACUGCGAGCCGACGGGGCAUUCAUUUUGUCAUCUGCCCACAACUGGCUGGCUUUCAUAUUUAAAGCAUGGGAACCCAGCAUCAGAAUAUUAGUACUUUUGAUUCCUGGCUCGCUAGAGUGGAUGGCUGGCUGGUCACCUCGUGCAAGCCGUUCCCCAUCUGUAUGGUGGAUGCCGCCUCUCCCUGUGCACGCGUGUGGAGCCCGGGUGUGCGCUGAAGACAAUAAGUGUCUACAUUUGGCCGGAAUAUCACUGAGCACCGGUGCCAGCGUUGAUUUCCUAUGUGAGCAGCGAGUGAGGGGCCGUACGUGGGCACCCGGGCUCUGACAAACACGCAGGGGAACCAUUUUCCUCAGGCACUGCCUUGCGUGUGCCGCCAGCACGGUGCCUUCCCGCCGGGGUUGCCGUUCCUCCCCGUUCUUAAGGAAGAAAACAAAACGAUAAAUGCUUUUUAACAUCUCCCGACGUUCUGGGCUGGCCGCG